rnacentral:misc_RNA from 1 species
AACACUGAUGUGAUAGAUACAUAAUGUUGACGUGAUGACAUACGACAACAGUUGUGAAACUUAUAUGGACUAACUCCAGCCCACAGAGCAAAACCGGACUUCUCCCAGAGUCCCAUGCCUAAAUGCAUCAACACAGUGGACUUAUAAAACAGGCAUUUUCACGUCUUCUUGAAAUGGUAAGCUCUCUAGAAACAGGUAUCGUGUUCAAUACAUGCUCAUACACAUCCGUGCCUAACUUGGAGACCCAAAUAAAUCAGUAGUUACAUGCAAAACACCUGCAGUCAAUUCAACGCUUUUAUGCCAAGGGAGAAAAAUACAACUUUAAGAAUUAAAUUUUCUAACACUUGUUCCAGGCAAACGGAGAAGUCUUGCAGCCCAAGUCCUCAUCAACAUUCGAAACAUCAAAUCUUAUAUCUGAAAAGAUUUCUUAGUCUUUCUCAAAUUAAGUUUAAAUCAGCCUUUUUUAAAAAACACAAUUUCAUAUGCAGUUUGAA